UACGUAGGGUGCAAGCGUUAAUCGGAAUUACUGGGCGUAAAGCGUGCGCAGGCGGUUUUGUAAGUCUGUCGUGAAAUCCCCGGGCUUAACCUGGGAAUGGCAUUUGGGACUGCAAGGCUCGAGUGCGGCAGAGGAGACUGGAAUUCCUGGUGUAGCAGUGAAAUGCGCAGAUAUCGGGAAGAACACCCGUGGCGAAGGCGGCUCUCUGGGACGGUACUGACGCUGAGACGCGAAAGCGUGGGGAGCGAACAGG
rnacentral:rRNA from 1 species